CCUACGGGGGGCAGCAGUGGGGAAUUUUGGACAAUGGACGCAAGUCUGAUCCAGCCAUUCCGCGUGCAGGACGAAGGCCUUCGGGUUGUAAACUGCUUUUGUACGGAACGAAAAAGCUCUUAUUAAUACUAGGAGUCCAUGACGGUACCGUAAGAAUAAGCACCGGCUAACUACGUGCCAGCAGCCGCGGUAAUACGUAGGGUGCAAGCGUUAAUCGGAAUUACUGGGCGUAAAGCGUGCGCAGGCGGUUAUAUAAGACAGAUGUGAAAUCCCCGAGCUU
rnacentral:rRNA from 1 species